UACGUAGGAGGCAAGCGUUGUCCGGAAUUAUUGGGCGUAAAGCGCUUGUAGGCGGCUUGUUAAGUUCCGUGUGAAAUCCCCAGGCUUAACCUGGGAAGUGCGCGGAAAACUGGCGAGCUUGAGUGCCGGAGAGGGUCGCGGAAUUCCCGGUGUAGAGGUGAAAUUCGUAGAUAUCGGGAGGAACACCAGUGGCGAAGGCGGCCACCUGGACGGUCACUGACGCUGAGACGCGAAAGCGUGGGUAGCAAACAGG
rnacentral:rRNA from 1 species